AACGAACGCUGGCGGCAGGCCUAACACAUGCAAGUCGAGCGCGCCCUUCGGGGUGAGCGGCGGACGGGUGAGUAACGCGUGGGAACGUGCCCUUUUCUACGGAAUAGCCUCGGGAAACUGAGAGUAAUACCGUAUACGCCCUUUGGGGGAAAGAUUUAUCGGAAAAGGAUCGGCCCGCGUUGGAUUAGGUAGUUGGUGGGGUAAUGGCCUACCAAGUCGACGAUCCAUAGCUGGUUUGAGAGGAUGAUCAGCCACACUGGGACUGAGACACGGCCCAGACUCCUACGGGAGGCAGCAGUGGGGAAUCUUAGACAAUGGGGGCAACCCUGAUCGAGCCAUGCCGCGUGAGUGAUGAAGGCCUUAGGGUUGUAAAGCUCUUUCAGCUGGGAAGAUAAUGACGGUACCAGCAGAAGAAGCCCCGGCUAACUCCGUG
rnacentral:rRNA from 1 species